rnacentral:lncRNA from 1 species
GAAAUCCUAAAACGAAGGGUACAGUGAAUGAAGAAGUAGCAGACAAAUCCUGUUUUUACUCUUCUCUUGUUUUAAACCCUACCUUUCCUACCCUUCCUACCUUUCCCUUUCUUUCUUUCUUUCUUUGUUUCUUUCUUUUACCUCUCUGUUUUUCCCUCUGUUUCCUUUGGGCCAUAUAUAUGUACACAUCUAUUUACACCAACUACAGAUGGAUGGGAUAGAAGAAUCUUUCACUUUCACUGGGAAGCUUUGGAGUCAAUUACAGUCGAGCGCUAAGUAUGUGUAUGUCCACCAAAUGUCUGUAUUAUUGAAUAUACAACUGAUGACCCAAUCCAUAGUUACUCUAAUCAAC